rnacentral:snRNA from 1 species
AUGCUUAGCUGGCAGGGGAGAGAUCAUGUGCAUGAACGUGUUUUACCCAGAGUGAGGCUUAGCUAUUGCACUCUGGAUGUGCUGACCCCUGUGAUUUCCCCAAAUGUGGGAAACUCAACUGCAUAAUUUGUGGUAGUGGGGGACUUCAUUUGUGCUCUCUCUUG